GCUUAAACAGAUAAUCAUAAUCAUCUAAUCAAAUUGCAAUCAAUUUAGUUAUUUACGAAUUCUCUCUGCACCCGAAAACCCUAGCACCGCCUUGAAGGACUCAAUUCGACCCAAAGGUUCACACUUCUCAACCAAUUUCGACCACUUCCGCUGCCAAGAAGGACAAAGUAAUGGAAGAGGGAAAACAUAAAUCGAGGAAAGAAGACAGUGAUUCUAAGAGGAGUCACCGUGAUGGAGAUCGUGAAAGAACUGGUGGAAGAGGUAAGGAUAGAAGCGAUGGUAGGCAUAAGGAUAAUACGGAGAAGAGGGAUCGUGAAUCUCGACGGCAUUACAGAGAGAAAAGCAUUGAUUAUGAGGAUAAGCAUGAUAGAGACAGGGAGAAGCCCAGGGAUGUUAAAGAGAAGGAUAGGGCACGGGUUCAUGAUGUCGACCGAGAAAAGAGAGACAGAAAAAGGGAAAGAGGUAGAGAAGAGAAAGAAAAGGAGAGAGUAAGAGAGAAAGAAAGAGAUAUGGAAGAUAAGGAAAAGGAGAGAAUGAGGGAGAAAGACAGAGAGAGGGAAAGAAAGGAGGAGAAGGAGAGGAUUAGAGAGAAAGAAAGGGCAAGGGAAAGGAGGGAUCAUGAGAGAGAGAAGGAAAGAGAAAAGGAAAGAGAUAAAGGAAAGAGAGGACGGGAGCAGGAGCGGGAGAAACAUAGAGAUGUUGAUAGCGAAAAUAGUGAUGGUGAGUUGAGGGAGAGGAAUAGAAAGCGGCAUAAGACAGAGGACGGCAGUUAUAAGGGGCGGGAGAAGGAAAAGAGUUCUAGCAAGUCAAACAAGAUUAACGGAAGCCCUAGGAGAAAGAGCGAUGGAGAUGACUCUGAUUCCAAAGGGAAAGAGAAAAGACUUACCCGUGAGGAGAAAAUGGAAGUUGAGCAAAAGAGGUUGGAUGAUGAAAUAGUAAAGCGAAGGAGGAGAGUUCAAGCGUCGCAAGAGCUAAAGAGGAAGCAGGAAGAGUCAGAAAGAGAAAAGCAAGGUGGAGCAAGUGUUUCUGAACUAGAGUCUGGAAAGGCGUGGACACUUGAAGGGGAGGAAUCUGAUGAUGAAGAUGGAACAGGUAGACAUACGAGUAUGGAUGUAGACGAAGACGAUAAACUUGCUGAUAAUGAACCUAGGGAGUCAAUGGUGGUAGAUGUUGACAAUGGAACAGUUGCAUCCGAUUUACAUAAUGGAGAUACUGCUGACGAUGAGAUUGACCCAUUGGAUGCUUUCAUGAAUUCUAUGGUUCUUCCUGAGGUUGAAAAGUUGCAGAAUGCUGUUAACUCAACACUUGAUAAAGCUUCUGACUUUAAACCCAAGGAUAAAGAGGAUGAGCGUAGUAAUGGUCGACAAUCAAGGAAACGUUCAAAUAAAUCUAUUGGCAGGAUAAUUCCUGGUGAAGAGUCCGACUCAGAUUAUGCAGAUCCUGAUGUUGAGGGGGAUCCAUUAGAUGAAGAUGACGACGAGUUCAUGAAGAGAGUGAAGAAAACAAAAGUUGAAAAGCUUUCGAUAGUUGACCACUCAAAGAUUGACUAUAUACCAUUCAAAAAGAAUUUCUAUAUUGAAGUGAAAGAGAUCUCAAAGAUGACUCUCGAAGAAGUUGUGUUAUACAGGAAGCAGUUAGAGUUGAAGAUACAUGGAAAGGAUGUGCCCAAGCCUGUAAAGUCAUGGAACCAGACUGGACUUACUAGCAAAGUUUUAGAGACAAUAAAGAAGGCAAACUUUGAAAAGCCAAUGCCUAUUCAAGCUCAGGCAUUGCCUGUAAUUAUGAGUGGUCGAGAUUGCAUAGGCAUUGCCAAAACUGGGUCAGGUAAAACACUUGCUUUUGUUCUGCCAAUGUUGAGGCAUAUAAAGGAUCAGCCACCAGUUGUUGCAGGAGAUGGACCUAUUGGGCUUAUUAUGGCCCCGACAAGAGAACUUGUUCAACAGAUUCAUAGUGACAUAAAGAAGUUUACAAAGGUAAUGGGUAUCAGGUGUGUUCCUGUCUAUGGAGGUUCCGGUGUUGCUCAACAAAUCAGUGAGUUGAAACGUGGUACUGAGAUAGUAGUUUGUACUCCAGGUAGGAUGAUCGACAUACUGUGUACCAGUAGUGGAAAAAUAACUAACCUGCGCAGAGUGACUUAUCUGGUCAUGGAUGAGGCGGAUCGAAUGUUUGACAUGGGUUUUGAACCUCAAAUCACAAGAAUUGUUCAGAAUAUUCGGCCAGAUCGUCAAACAGUUCUCUUCUCUGCCACUUUCCCGCGCCAGGUUGAAAUUUUGGCUCGCAAGGUUUUAAAUAAACCUGUUGAAAUACAAGUUGGUGGGAGGAGUGUUGUGAACAAAGAUAUAGCACAGUUAGUUGAGGUGAGGCCAGAAAAUGAGAGGUUCCUUAGACUCUUGGAACUACUUGGAGAAUGGUACGAGAAAGGAAAGAUUUUGGUAUUUGUCCACUCACAGGAUAAAUGUGAUGCAUUGUUCAAGGAUCUAAUGAAACAUGGCUAUCCAUGUCUUUCUCUUCAUGGGGCUAAGGAUCAGACAGACCGCGAAUCCACAAUAUCUGAUUUUAAAAGCAAUGUCUGCAAUUUGUUGGUUGCAACAAGUAUUGCUGCCAGGGGAUUAGACGUCAAGGAGCUCGAAUUGGUGAUCAAUUUUAAUGUUCCAAACCACUAUGAAGAUUAUGUACAUCGUGUUGGGCGCACUGGCCGUGCUGGCCGAAAAGGUUGUGCCAUCACAUUUAUUUCUGAAGAUGAUGCAAGAUAUGCACCAGAUCUGGUGAAAGCUUUGGAGCUAUCCGAGCAGAUUGUUCCUGAUGAUCUGAAAUCCCUUGCCGAUGGCUUUAUGGCAAAAGUGACUCAAGGACUGGAGAAAGCCCAUGGGACUGGUUAUGGAGGCAGUGGCUUUAAAUUUAAUGAAGAGGAAGAUGAGGUGAGGAGGGCUGCAAAGAAAGCUCAAGCCAAAGAAUAUGGAUUUGAAGAAGACAAGUCGGAUUCUGAAGAUGAAGAUGAUGGUAUUAGGAAGGCAGGAGGUGAUAUUUCACAGCACCCUGCUCUUGCUCAGAUUUCAAAUGGUGGGCUACCUGUUUCUUUGCCACCUGUUCUUGGUCUCCAGACUCCAGUUUUGCCUGGGACAGGGCUACCCGUUGCUGCAAAUGAUGGGGCAGCUCGAGCUGCAAUAGCUGCUAUAAACCUGCAGCACAACUUGGCAAAAAUACAAUCUGAAGCAUUGCCAGAGCAUUAUGAGGCUGAGUUGGAAAUAAAUGAUUUCCCUCAGAAUGCUCGCUGGAAAGUCACGCACAAGGAUACUUUAGGCCCCAUUUCUGAGUGGACUGGAGCUGCUAUUACCACAAGGGGACAGUAUUUUCCACCUGGCAAAGUCGCAGGACCCGGGGAUCGCAAACUCUACUUGUUCAUUGAGGGUCGUAGUGAGCAGUCAGUUAAGAGAGCCAAAGUAGAAUUGAAGCGUGUUUUGGAAGACAUCACUAACCAGGCUUUGCAACUACCUGGUGGAACUCAACCAGGCAAAUACUCUGUUGUAUAAAAGCUAGGUCUUUCAAGCCUAAUCUCUUGUAUCCAAAAUAUUGUUCCAUCCUUGCGCUUGCUUCGUGGAUGUCUAAGGUGGCAGUCAUGAUGCAAAUUUUUCAUCUAGUUCCUACUUGAUUUCAAGCUAACAUCCUUGAAAUACUGAUUUUUUUUUCCGUGUUAUUCCUUGUACUCGAGUCAUGAGAUGUUUUAUGCUAUUAUCUGUUCCUUUAUCUGAUUUUGUGUGCAUUUUUCAGGUUUUGGUUCGAUGAUCUUUUGUCUUGGAAAGGGAUACAAGAUGUGAUUGGGGAGAUCACACAAUUCAGUUAUUUAUUAACUUAAAGCUUAUUGGAUCAGCUGUGCUCACCCUAUCAACAGAAAUACAUCCUUAAUCUUCUGCGGAAGUUGAUGGCGCAUUUAUUGAUUAGAGCUUAUGAAGAGGACAUAACAUAUUGUGGAAAUUAUUAAAGAGGUGAAAUGGCUGACAUGCUGACAAGGUUUCACUUCUUAAUCUUUGCUCUUUCUGUUUAUAGUCAAGUUAGAUGAGAGUUUCUGAAUAUCAAUUGGGUUACGUUAUGUGUGAAGUUAUUGUUUAAGAAAUUCAUAGUUAUUGCGAAAUUGUUUUAAUAUUUAUUUUUCGAUAGUAAUUGUGAAUACACUUAUCCAAACUGGUGCUUGGUCUUUAGGUCACUCUUAAGCUGAAGUUUACUAAAAUGUGUUUAUUACCUUUGUUUAAGAAUGGAGUUUCGAAUUAUUUAGCUGGCAUGAGAGGCACAGGUAACACGACAAUGGCUUAUUUUGUUUCUUUAUAGUAGGUGAUUAUUAUCCUGAGGAAAAGGUGAAGAAAACCAUUUUUGUUGGAAUGUAGUGAAUGAAGGCUUGUAUUUUCUUGUUUAUGAUAAGUACAUUUUUUGUGCAAUCAAGAUUCAAAUUUUGCCAAAUGGUUGAAUUUGUGGUUCACUUAUUCCUUUCACAUUGUAUGGAAUUUGUUGCAAACAAUGUACUAAAAUAUCAAUAACAGAAAUGACAUCAAUUGCAUUAUGCGAUUGCAUCUGCAUCAUAUGUAUAAUUCAGAAAAUCACAAUAAUUCAAAGUGGUGUGUUCUGGUGCGUUACUUUCUGGUUC